rnacentral:rRNA from 1 species
AAUGAACGCUGGCGGCAGGCUUAACACAUGCAAGUCGAACGAGAACGCACCUUCGGGUGUUAGUAAAGUGGCAAACGGGUGAGUAACACGUGGGAAUGUACCUUUUGGUUCGGGACAACAGUUGGAAACGACUGCUAAUACCGGAUAAGCUCUACGGAGGAAAGAUUUAUCGCCAAAAGAUCAGCCCGCGCAAGAUUAGCUAGUUGGUGGGGUAAUGGCCUACCAAGGCAACGAUCUUUAGCUGGUUUGAGAGGAUGAUCAGCCACACUGGGACUGAGAUACGGCCCAGACUCCUACGGGAGGCAGCAGUGAGGAAUAUUGGACAAUGGAGGAAACUCUGAUCCAGCCAUGCCGCGUGAAUGAAGAAGGCCCUAGGGUUGUAAAGUUCUUUUAGUUGGGAAGAUAAUGACGGUACCAACAGAAAAAGCCCCGGCUAACUCCG